UACGUAGGUGGCAAGCGUUGUCCGGAAUUAUUGGGCGUAAAGCGCGCGCAGGCGGCCUCUUAAGUCUGAUGUGAAAGCCCCCGGCUCAACCGGGGAGGGCCAUUGGAAACUGGGAGGCUUGAGUAUAGGAGAGAAGAGUGGAAUUCCACGUGUAGCGGUGAAAUGCGUAGAGAUGUGGAGGAACACCAGUGGCGAAGGCGACUCUUUGGCCUAUAACUGACGCUGAGGUGCGAAAGCGUGGGGAGCAAACAGG
rnacentral:rRNA from 1 species